rnacentral:rRNA from 1 species
AGCGAACGCUGGCGGCAGGCCUAACACAUGCAAGUCGAACGAACCUUUCGGGGUUAGUGGCGGACGGGUGAGUAACACGUGGGAACGUGCCUUUAGGUUCGGAAUAACACAGGGAAACUUGUGCUAAUACCGAAUGUGCCCUUCGGGGGAAAGAUUUAUCGCCUUUAGAGCGGCCCGCGUCUGAUUAGCUAGUUGGUUGAGGUAAUGGCUCACCAAGGCGACGAUCAGUAGCUGGUCUGAGAGGAUGAUCAGCCACAUUGGGACUGAGACACGGCCCAAACUCCUACGGGAGGCAGCAGUGGGGAAUCUUGCGCAAUGGGCGAAAGCCUGACGCAGCCAUGCCGCGUGAAUGAUGAAGGUCUUAGGAUUGUAAAAUUCUUUCACCGGGGACGAUAAUGACGGUACCCGGAGAAGAAGCCCCGGCUAACUUCGUG